rnacentral:rRNA from 1 species
AGAGUUUGAUCCUGGCUCAGGAUGAACGCUGGCGGCGUGCCUAACACAUGCAAGUCGAACGAAGCGCUUACGACGGAAUCCUCCGGGAGGAAGGCGUUUGCGACUUAGUGGCGGACGGGUGAGUAACGCGUGGGUAACCUGCCCCGUACAGGGGGACAACAGCCGGAAACGGCUGCUAAUACCGCAUGAGCCUGCGGGGCCGCAUGGCCCGGCAGGGAAAGCUGCGGCGGUACGGGAUGGGCCCGCGUCUGAUUAGCCAGUUGGCGGGGUAACGGCCCACCAAAGCGACGAUCAGUAGCCGGCUUGAGAGAGUGAACGGCCACAUUGGGACUGAGACACGGCCCAAACUCCUACGGGAGGCAGCAGUGGGGAAUAUUGCACAAUGGGGGGAACCCUGAUGCAGCAACGCCGCGUGAGUGAAGAAGUACCUCGGUAUGUAAAGCUCUAUCAGCAGGGAAGAAGAUGACGGUACCUGACCAAGAAGCACCGGCUAAAUACGUG